rnacentral:misc_RNA from 1 species
AACACUGUUAACCUGCGGUACCUGCGGAGGGAUCAUUACACAAAUGAAAAUAUGAAGGCCCUUCAAACCGGCUGGAUUAUUUUUCUUCACCCUUGUCUUUUGCGCACUUGUUGUUUCCUGGGCGGGUUCGCUCGCCACCAGGACCACACCAUAAACCUUUUUGUUAAUGCAAUCAGCGUCAGUAAAAAGUAAUAAUUAUUUUACAACUUUCAACAACGGAUCUCAGAUCGGAAGAGCACA